UGGGGAAUUUUGGACAAUGGGCGAAAGCCUGAUCCAGCAAUGCCGCGUGUGUGAAGAAGGCCUUCGGGUUGUAAAGCACUUUUGUCCGGAAAGAAAUCCUCUGGGUUAAUACCUCGGGGGGAUGACGGUACCGGAAGAAUAAGCACCGGCUAACUACGUGCCAGCAGCCGCGGUAAUACGUAGGGUGCAAGCGUUAAUCGGAAUUACUGGGCGUAAAGCGUGCGCAGGCGGUUUUGUAAGACGGAUGUGAAAUCCCCGGGCUUAACCUGGGAACUGCAUUCGUGACUGCAAGGCUAGAGUAUGGCAGAGGGGGGUAGAAUUCCACGUGUAGCAGUGAAAUGCGUAGAGAUGUGGAGGAAUACCGAUGGCGAAGGCAGCCCCCUGGGCCAAAUACUGACGCUCAUGCACGAAAGCGUGGGGAGCAAACAGGAUUAGAUACCCUGGUAGUCCACGCCCUAAACGAUGUCAACUAGUUGUUGGGGAUUCAUUUCCUUAGUAACGUAGCUAACGCGUGAAGUUGACCGCCUGGGGAGUACGGUCGCAAGAUUAAAACUUAAAUGAAUUGACGGGGUCAUAGCUGUUUCC
rnacentral:rRNA from 1 species